rnacentral:rRNA from 1 species
GACAUAGGUCGCAAACGUUAUCCGGAAUUAUUGGGCGUAAAGGAUGCGUAGAUGGCUUGAUAAGUUAUUAGUGGAAAAUCGGGGCUCAACCCCGUGGAAGUUAGUAAUACUGUCAGGCUUGAGUACAGGAGGGGUUAACGGAACUCCAUGUGGAGCGGUAAAAUGCGUAGAUAUAUGGAAGAACACCGAUAAGGCGAAGGCAGUUAACUAUUCUGUUACUGACAUUGAGGCAUGAAAGCGUGGGGAGCAAAAAGG